GUGUGCCAAGCCCCCAUGGGCCGUGCCAAUGCUGCACAGUCUGCUCUGUUGGUGCCCAGAACGAGAUGGUUGUGGGAGGCAGAGCUGGCUGAGCACCUUAGCAAAUCUGCUUUCCCUGGCAGCAUCCUGUGUGCCUGGAGGUGCCCCCAGCCUGCCCUCCCAGGGAUCUGCAGAGGGAACAUGCCCUGCUGGAUGAACAAGAAUCUUUCAGGAGGAUAA
rnacentral:lncRNA from 1 species